CUCUCUCUCAAACACACUUGCUGUGAAAGAAACCCAGUGAAGGAAUCCCUCUCGCCAUCUCGCCCACUCCAGUUGUUGGAUUCUAGAGUAACUGCCGUAGGACAAAUUCUUCUCCUCCCUCAAAGAUCAAGAAAUUCAGAGAUGCAUUGGCGAAGCAUAGCUCAUAUUGUUGCAGCCUGGGACCAUCGAAAGGGCUCGAGGAGAAAGAACUGCUAGUGCUUGCAGCCAACAAAGAAACUUGGACGCAAUUUCCCCAAAUACAGAUGCUUGUAGACCACAAAAGAAGUGUUUUUGUUUGGAAAAAGCUGCAGCGACCGAGAUGAUUCAUGAGUUUAAACAGAGAGAUAUUGGCACAAAGAUGACUCCACUUUGCAGUUCAACAACUUCGAGAUGCCACAUGUUGUUGAAAGUGAGUGAAGCUAUUCAAGUGAAUCAAAGACCAAGAAAUGAUCAAUUGUUGUAAUUUGAAAUAUGAAGUUGUAAUUUUUGGAAUAUCAAGUUGUAGUAUCAAGUUUUAGUUUUGCGAAAUCUAACUUUGAUUGUAGCCUAUUUGUGUGACUAUAUUGUUUUAUGGUUUUUGUUGGGAAUGGAUAAUUUGGCAAUGGAUUUUGGCUAUGAAUGUGGCUUGUGAAUGGUGAUUUAGAAUGAGAAA